rnacentral:lncRNA from 1 species
AGGCACCGCACCCGGCGCUGCCGGCCCUCCUAACUCCCGGGUGAUGGGAACUAGGAAUUAGUUAAUGGGGGUCAGAAUCCCGGGGAAAGCAGUUAGCCCUGUGGUGCUGCCGGGCGUCUCUUGGCAAAGCCUCUUAGGGGUUGUAUCAAAUAGUAAACGAUUUUAAAAUGGAUUCAUUUGGUUAGGGGAGGAGAAUGGCGUGGAUGGAGAGAUGUGGACACCUCGUGAACAAGGAGGUAACAAGGAGGAUUGGAAGGCACAAAGUAAAGAAAAUGAAAAUUAGAAACUUGUGAAAAGGAGCAUUACCCAUUGCAGUUCUUCAAACUUCAGACUUCCUUCUGUCUUGGAAUUACUUGAAAACUAUCAUGAUUUCCACUUUGCUCUUUGAUGUUUGUGUUUUCAUAUUCUCCCUUUUUAAAGCAAAUUCCCAAAAUAUAAAAGCAUCAUUUGCCAGUUUCCUCCUCGACUAUUUUAGAACAGCUAAAUUUCAUGUGUUAGAAGUGCAGAAAUGAAAAUGAAAGAAGAAAAGAGAGACACUUUCAAUGUUUCUAGCACACAACACCUGCCUCUCACAUAUCUUUGGGUUUCUGUCUAUCAUGAACCUGCAGAAUCAGAACCUCAUAAAAAGUCUGACCAAGCAAAAAUUAUGCUAGAAGUGCUUACCUUUGUUGCUGUACACAUGAGCGUUAAUUUAUGGGCAAUUAUCACUGAUACGAAACAAGAAAAUACUCUUCUCAUAGUCCCCCUAAAAGAAAACACUCUUCUCAUAGUCCUCCUAAAAGAAAACCUGCCAAGGAUGUGGAUGUGUCCAGUCCAGUAGGGACUGAAGGAACAUGUGGGAGCAGACACAGAAUUUGUUUGUAAAUUUGAAUAAAAUAUAAGGACAAGAAAGCUAGGUUCUGAG